AAUAUUUUGACCAAUAUUUCAAAGUCAAAGCACAAUUACACAUACCAAACCUCCUUUUACUCCUCACUCUCUCACUCCUUCUCUGUCUUCUCUCUACUCUCAAACCCUUCUUCCUCUCCAAAACCGCCAACAGCCCACCGCACCACCAUCACCCUCGUCCUUCUCCAUCACCAGUUACCACCGUCCUCCUCAUCUCAUGAUCCAUGAUGAUACUAUAUUCUACACACGGCUCCAGUAAUAUAAUAAGCACACAUCAAGGCAGCAACACCAAACAAAAUCUGAUUUUUGUUGAUGGAAAUGUGGACUUUGGGUUUGCAGGUAUGUUUAUUUCACUAUCAGGAUUCUUUAGAAUUCUAUGUCUACCCUCACUUCUUUUAAAUGAUUAAAUGAUUUUGCUGACGAUACUGUUUUCUUCUUGAAUGUGAAGUCAAUGCUUGAACAAAGUUGAAAUAUGGAGGAAAUGAACGAACGAGCAAAAUGGCAAAUUUGAUUUUUUUAUAGAACGAGCUAUAUCAUUGUUGCAUAGUUGAAUUUAAUGAUAUUUUUGCCACUUACUUUAAGCAUUUCUGAUCUUACAGGAUCAUUUCACAAAAGUGAAGGAGCUGGCCAUAACUUUCAAAUAUAUAGAUCCAACCUACAUCAUCCGAGUUGUUCCAAGUAAUGCUUCUGGCGGUGUGUACUACACACUUCUUACUGUAAGUGUUGUUCAUGGAGCAAUGGCUGGUUACAUCGGACACCAACUAUACAAGUCGUCGUGUCAACAGAAGACAAACUUAUAUACCUUAUAUGACCAAACGAGGAGGGCAGCUGGGAUCUUUUGUCAGUAAUUAGGGACGAAUUUGGUUCUGUUAUGGUAACCUGCAGUUGUCAAUAAUAGCUGCAAAAUGACGCAGAUCUGGUGGACGCGAUGGCCUACAAAAUCGUUUUACAAUUUUACCUAAAAUUAUUUUACUUGAUCGUUGAAUCAGAACCGAUGAACACAGCCAAUGUCAUCUUGGAUCAGCAGCUCUCACACUCUUAUAUGGGAUCUAUUGUUGAGUGAUGUAUCAAUUUUUACUCUUACUCUCAUCUAUAGACAAGGACCAUUUGUUUUAUUUUGUUGUGGAUUCUGAGAUGAUAUUUUGACUUUCACAUAGGCUUUACAUGUGUCUAAAUGUGUUUCAGAACAUUCAUCGUAAUCAUCUUCAGGAAAACACAGAGAGGUUCCUGAAGGACAUUACACACAACAGAACCACACUCGAUGCUUCUACACGGUUAUUGGAAUUGAAAGUUAUAUAAAACAAAGCUUCAUUUUGUGUCAUUACUUUACGACGUUCACUGAAUUGAAGACUGACUUAAUAGAGAGUUUAUUCAAUCUGUAAGAAAUGUGACUGAUACGACGCGAUUAAGCAAAAGAAAUCCAAUUUGUUCAGCUACAACAUAUUCUUGAAAUCCAACAUGUCAACGCAGACGUCAUGUUUGUCUUUCAGGUCAAAUCUUGAUCUCCCUCAUCUCUUCAAUUCUGUUCUCAUUUUAUCGCAAAUUCACACUGUUUUGUCUGGAGAUCAGUGACUCCUUUUUGUUUAGGAUCCACUGGUGUUUGAUGUACUUAAUGAACAUUGAUGGUAGAAUUUGGUUACUUUUAUGUUUCAUGACUGUGUUGUUUAGGGUUCAUCAGUGACUCACUCAUUCCUAUCUGAGGUUUGUUGUUCUAUUUGCAAGACAAUGAAUAUACCUGACUGUUGAAAGGGCAGGUAAUUAGUAAAUGCAUAUGUGGUUGCUGAGAAUUAGCUCUUUUAUUGAUGCUAAUGUUUUCGUUUCCUGCAACUUAAGAUAUGAGCUUUAUUUCUCUGUUGUAUUUGUUUCAUCACUGUGUUGUUUUUUUGCUGUCCGAUCCUAAACUAUUUGAUUUUGUUGAUGGCAUAGAUUUUUUUGAAUGUCAUCAGCAUAAUAUCAUGCCAGCCAAGUAUCCAAGUAUUUUGCAUAAUGAAAGAAUUAACUGUAUAUAUGUAGCUUAUGUUGUUAUUCAGCUUGCUUGACAGAUUAGUCAUUAUGAAGUACAUCUAUUCCAGACAGGUUUUAUUGUCCCUUUUUCUUCCGAGUGGAUGACACAAUCACGUAUGUAAUGGUGGUUUUCUCUCAUAAUAGGUCCUUAUUAUCACAAGAGAUUAUUCCAGUUAAACAGAAUAAGAAGUACAUGUAACUUCAAUGUAAAGGACUAACUUCCAUGAUUCGAAAUGUGUUCCGUUUGGUUUUAUGUUGUCGGCAUCAUUAUAGCAGAAGUUUGAAUGCUGCUAUAAGUUUUGCUAUUCGAAGUUGUCGAAAAUGUGCUGUAAAAAAUAAUUUGGCGAGAUUAAUGUCAUUUACCAUUAACAUGUUGGUUUCGACCUCUUUUGCUA